rnacentral:rRNA from 1 species
UACGAAGGGGGCUAGCGUUGCUCGGAAUCACUGGGCGUAAAGGGUGCGUAGGCGGGUCUUUAAGUCAGGGGUGAAAUCCUGGAGCUCAACUCCAGAACUGCCUUUGAUACUGAGGAUCUUGAGUUCGGGAGAGGUGAGUGGAACUGCGAGUGUAGAGGUGGAAUUCGUAGAUAUUCGCAAGAACACCAGUGGCGAAGGCGGCUCACUGGCCCGAUACUGACGCUGAGGCACGAAAGCGUGGGGGAGCAAACAGG